UACGGAGGAUGCAAGCGUUAUCCGGAAUUAUUGGGCGUAAAGCGUCCGCAGGUGGCAAUGUAAGUCUGCUGUCAAAGCGUCUGGCUCAACCAGAUAAAGGCAGUGGAAACUACAUAGCUAGAGUAAGGUAGGGGUAGAGGGAAUUCCUGGUGUAGCGGUGAAAUGCGUAGAGAUGUGGAGGAACACCGAUGGCGAAGGCAGCCUCCUGGGCCAACACUGACGCUCAGGAGCGAAAGCCAGGGGAGCAAACGGG
rnacentral:rRNA from 1 species